rnacentral:misc_RNA from 1 species
AACGCACAUUGCGCCCGCCAGCAUUCUGGCGGGCAUGCCUGUCCGAGCGUCAUUUCAACCCUCAGGGUCCCUCCGCCUCGCGCGGUCGGAGCCUGGUGUUGGGGAUCGGCCCGCCCCGCGCGGCGCCGUCCCCCAAAUACAGUGGCGGUCCCGCCGCAGCCUCCCCUGCGCAGUAGUUAUCAACUCGCACUGGAGCGCGGCGCGGCCACGCCGUAAAACCCCCGACUUUCUGAACGUUGACCUCGGAUCAGGUAGGAAUACCCGCUGAACUUAA